GAAAUGCGAUAAGUAGUGUGAAUUGCAGAAUUCAGUGAAUCAUCGAAUCUUUGAACGCACAUUGCGCCCCUUGGUAUUCCAUGGGGCAUGCCUGUUCGAGCGUCAUUUGUACCCUCAAGCUCUGCUUGGUGUUGGGUGUUUGUCCCGUCUCCGCGCGUGGACUCGCCCCAAAGUGAUUGACAGCCGGCGUACUGGUCCCGGAGCGCAGCACAUGUCGCGCAAACGAGUGCCUUGGUACGGCGGCGUCCAUAAGCCCCUCUCUCACGCUCUUGACCUCGGAUCAGGUAGGGAUACCCGCUGAACUUAAGC
rnacentral:misc_RNA from 1 species